AGGACUGCUGGUUUGAGUUGGAAAGAAGGUUUACGUGGUUGGUCUAAGGACCAGAAAUGAUGCUAAGUAGGCGGAUUCAACAGCACUGAGUUGGUGGUAAUGGAAACAGAAAAAGAGAAAUAAAAAAUAUGGGUCAUGUGCCAGUUUUCUGCAAUGGAAUUGGAUUUUGGAAGAAGGUCCGGGAUUUUUUUUGUCCACCUGAGAGGGGAGCAUGGAGACACCAAGUUCCGUCCAAUCAGUCAUAUAGACAAAAA
rnacentral:lncRNA from 1 species